UACAGAGGGUGCAAGCGUUAAUCGGAAUUACUGGGCGUAAAGCGUGCGUAGUCGGUUAUUUAAGUCGGAUGUGAAAUCCCCGGGCUCAACCUGGGAAUUGCAUUCGAUACUGGAUAGCUAGAGUUCGGCAGAGGGAAGCGGAAUUUCGGGUGUAGCGGUGAAAUGCGUAGAUAUCCGAAGGAACAUCAGUGGCGAAAGCGGCUUCCUGGACCAGAACUGACGAUCAGGCACGAAAGCGUGGGGAUCAAACAGG
rnacentral:rRNA from 1 species